rnacentral:rRNA from 1 species
GGCGGUUAUUUAAGCCAGAUGUGAAAUCCCCGAGCUCAACUUGGGACGUGCAUUUGGAACUGGGUAACUUGAGUGUGUCAGAGGGGGGUAGAAUUCCACGUGUAGCAGUGAAAUGCGUAGAGAUGUGGAGGAAUACCGAUGGCGAAGGCAGCCCCCUGGGAUAACACUGACGCUCAUACUCGAAAGCGUGGGUAGCAAACAGGAUUAGAUACCCUGGUAGUCCACGCCCUAAACGAUGUCAAUUAGCUGUUGGGGGAUUAAAGGCCCUUGGUAGCGUAGCUAACGCGUGAAAUUGACCGCCUGGGGAGUACGGUCGCAAGAUUAAAACUCAAAGGAAUUGACGGGGACCCGCACAAGCGGUGGAUGAUGUGGAUUAAUUCGAUGCAACGCGAAAAACCUUACCUAGCCUUGACAUGUACGGAAUUCCGAUGAAAGUUGGAAGUGCCUUCGGGAACCGUAACACAGGUGCUGCAUGGCUGUCGUCAGCUCGUGUCGUGAGAUGUUGGGUUAAGUCCCGCAACGAGCGCAACCCUUGUCAUUAGUUGCCAGCAUUCAGUUGGGCACUCUAAUGAGACUGCCGGUGACAAACCGGAGGAAGGUGGGGAUGAUGUCAAGUCCUCAUGGCCCUUAUGGCUAGGGCUUCACACGUCAUACAAUGGUCGGUACAGAGGGUAGCGAAGCCGCGAGGUGGAGCCAAUCUCAGAAAGCCGAUCGUAGUCCGGAUCGCACUCUGCAACUCGAGUGCGUGAAGUCGGAAUC